UCACACCCUCCUCAUCCACCUUUGAAUGAAAGAAUUCUUUCAUCCAUGUCUCGAAGGUCUGUUGCUGCACAUCCUUGUCAUGAUCUUGAGAUUGGACCUGGAGCUCCUGCAGUUUUUAAUUGUGUUGUGGAAAUUAGUAAGGGAAGUAAAGUGAAGUAUGAACUAGACAAAAAGA